rnacentral:rRNA from 1 species
CACGGGGGGAGCGAGCGUUGUUCGGAAUCACUGGGCGUAAAGGGCGUGUAGGCGGCUCGGUAAGUGGGAUGUGAAAUCCCCAGGCUCACCCUGGGAACUGCAUCCCAUACUGCUGAGCUUGAGUGCGGGAGAGGAUGGGGGAAUUCCUGGUGUAGCGGUGAAAUGCGUAGAUAUCAGGAGGAACACCGGUGGCGAAGGCGCCCAUCUGGCCCGUUACUGACGCUGAGGCGCGAAAGCUAGGGGAGCAAACGGG